GGAUCGGUGCGCCGGGGAGUGCAUCCUCCACGGACGUCUUCAUUACCUGACCUUUGACGGGAAGCGUUACUCCUUCCGUGGGGUCUGCCACUAUAUCCUCGUGCAGGAUUUUGUAGAUGGGAAAAUUCAGAUCCAGGCAGAGAACGAGCCAUGCGGGAACCAGGGAGCUGUCAGCUGUCUACGGGCUGUGACCGUCACUGUUCAGAAGACCUCGGUCCGGCUUUCCUUCACAGGGGCCGUCUCAGUGAAUGGCCAGGACAUCACCCUCCCAUUUGGCAACGCCGACCUGACUAUUCGCCGCGCCUCCUCUGCCUUCCUGCUCCUCCAGACCUUUGGGGCUCACUUGCUCUGGGGCCUGGAGUUCCCCGCCGCCUAUGUCACUCUGCAGC